GGGAAUCUACCCUGAACUGCGGAAUAGCUCCGGGAAACUGGAAUUAAUACCGCAUGUGCCCUGAGGGGCAAAGAUUUAUCGGUUCAGGAUGAGCCCGCGUCGGAUUAGCUAGUUGGUGGGGUAAUGGCCUACCAAGGCGACGAUCCGUAGCUGGUCUAAGAGGAUGAUCAGCCACAUUGGGACUGAGACACGGCCCAAACUCCUACGGGAGGCAGCAGUGGGGAAUAUUGGACGAUGGGCGCAAGCCUGAUCCAGCCAUGCCGCGUGAGUGAUGAAGGCCCUAGGGUUGUAAAGCUCUUUCAGUGGGGACGAUAAUGACGGUACCCACAGAAGAAGCCCCGGCUAACUUCGUGCCAGCAGCCGCGGUAAUACGAAGGGGGCUAGCGUUGUUCGGAAUUACUGGGCGUAAAGCGCACGUAGGCGGAUAUUUAAGUCAGGGGUGAAAUCCCGGGGCUCAACCCCGGAACUGCCUUUGACACUGGAUGUCUUGAGUCCGGAAGAGGUGAGUGGAAUUGCGAGU
rnacentral:rRNA from 1 species